GGGAAGAGAAGGUCGGCCAGCGCAACGUUUUCCUGGAUAAAGACGCCAUGAAAAAAGCCAUCCCCCAGCUGCGCAUGGAGGCAAUCCAUGUGAUGGGCGUGGACGACAUGAGCACGCAGGACGUCUUCGGGUACUUUAAAGAGUAUCCUCCGGCUCACAUCGAGUGGAUCGAUGACACUUCCUGUAACGUGGUAUGGCUAGAUGAUGACACCCCCAUUCGAGCGCUCAUCAACACAAGCCGGA